UCGGGAAUUUUGGGCAAUGGGCGAAAGCCUGACCCAGCAACGCCGCGUGAAGGAUGAAGUAUUUCGGUAUGUAAACUUCGAAAGAAUAGGAAGAAUAAAUGACGGUACUAUUUAUAAGGUCCGGCUAACUACGUGCCAGCAGCCGCGGUAAUACGUAGGGUGCAAGCGUUAAUCGGAAUUACUGGGCGUAAAGCGCACGUAGGCGGUUUUUUAAGUCAGAUGUGAAAGCCCCGGGCUCAACCUGGGAAUUGCAUUUGAAACUGGAAAACUAGAGUGUGUGAGAGGGGGGUAGAAUUCCAAGUGUAGCGGUGAAAUGCGUAGAGAUUUGGAGGAAUACCAGUGGCGAAGGCGGCCCCCUGGCACAACACUGACGCUCAGGUGCGAAAGCGUGGGGAGCAAACAGGAUUAGAUACCCCCGUAGUCCCUGAGCGGGCUGGCAAGGCGCAU
rnacentral:rRNA from 1 species